AUGUGCAAAUUUAAGCAUCAGCUCCUCCCACUACUUCUCCUCUACAUGCAGAAGCUCUGGCUCUUUCUUUUGCAGCUCAAGUGGCUAGUAAGCUCAAUAUUUGGCAGCCAACCUUUCUCAUGGAUUGUUUCUCUUUAUCUUUGGUGGCUGCUACCGGCAAGAUUAUGGAAUCUACCACCCCUUGGAGCAUCAGGAAGCCUUUGGCUGAUUUCUUCAAGCAUGUUAACAGCUUGCAACCUCGAGUGUUUCACAUUUCUUGGGAAAUUAAUGGCAUAG
rnacentral:rRNA from 1 species